CACAGCUGUUCCGAGCUUGUUUCUGCAUUCUGAAAGUCAAGUGAGUGUGUGUAACGAGGAUAAGUGAGAUUUUUGUUCUUUUGGUAUUUACCUAGAUUAUGAGAGUGAAUUAAAAGCAAUAAUUUAUCUUGUGUUAAGAUGUUUUUACUGAUAUGAUUUGAAAGAGGCACAGGUGACCUAUAAUAAUGUGGACUUGGUAGGCUGUUGACAUCUCGGUUCCAUGUCAGAGACCUUUUUUUUUUUUUUUUAAAUCGGAGUGGUCCUUGUGCAAGAGUGCAUGAGACACCAUCAUUCAGUGUUGCAGCCUGACACAGCACAAAACCCCGCCUCAUGGAAAUCAACCAGUGGCCAGGACCUCCGGAGCGACCCUGCAGGUCGGCCUGCUGACGCAGCCGCUCCCCACCACCAGUGGGGCGUGCUUCGUGACCAGUGACAACCAGCGCGGCCAGGCCAGCUCAGC